AUUGAACGCUGGCGGCAGGCCUAACACAUGCAAGUCGAGCGAGCGGCGGACGGGUGAGUAAUGUCUGGGAAAAUGCCUGAUGGAGGGGGAGAACUACAGGAGACGGUAUCUAAUACAGCAUACAAUCAGAUAUGCCCAGAUGGGAUUUGCUAGUAGGUGGGGGAAUGGCUCACCUGGGCGACGAUCCCUAGCUGGUCUGAGAGGAUGACCAGCCACACUGGGACUGAGACACGGCCCAGACUCCUACGGGAGGCAGCAGUGGGGAAUAUUGCACAAUGGGCGCAAGCCUGAUGCAGCCAUGCCGCGUGUAUGAAGAAGGCCUUCGGGUUGUAAAGUACUUUCAGUCGGGAGGCGUUACCGACAGAAGAAGCACCGGCUAACUCCGUGCCAGCCGCCGCGGUAAUAC
rnacentral:rRNA from 1 species